rnacentral:siRNA from 1 species
UGGUGAUAUUGCAAUGGAUGG